rnacentral:misc_RNA from 1 species
AGAAUGUGAACCUUGGCUUCUGCCAUGCUAAAAAAUGAUUUUGUGUGUAUUCAUAUCCAUGUGUAAUGUUUAUUUAUAUUUAUGUAUGAACCAUAUGCAAUGGGCUCAAGGCUAUGUGUGGUGUGUAUCUCCUUCUUUCAUGGAUACGAGUCAUUUAUCACUUCUUUACUACUUUGCUUAUUCAUUGCUCCAAUAUGCUGUGGAUCAUUAUCAAUUGAUGUUUGGAAAAGAUUGGGAAAAAAAAAAAAAAGAG